rnacentral:misc_RNA from 1 species
CCAGCUUACCAGCGCUCUCUCCUUUGACUUCUUCAGGCCCAGAAUUAAACACCAUUGCACCACUGAUCUCCAAUAAGCCUAAUGCAAUUUCUGGUCCAACAAUGCCAUAUCAAAGCACUGCACAAUCUACAUCUUCAGUUGUGACCUCUAAUUCUCUUCGAACAGAAACACCAACACCUUCACUGAUAACCCCAGGUCAGCUGUUGCAGUCUGGACCAACUACAAUCCCUUCUUCACAACCUGUGCAAACAGGUCAUAAAGACGUGGAGGUGGUUCAAGCAUCAACAACAUUAUCAACAGAACCAUCAGUGCCUGCUGUUACAGAAGCUCAGCCACCAAUACUCCCAUUACC